GUUAAAUAAAGAAUAUAUAGUUAUAAACAUUCCAUUCUGCAGGUGGAAUUAAUAAUAAUUAUAUAUUAAUGUGAUAUUAUCACGUGUUAGCAUACCGCUGUUUUUAUCCAGGUGUAUUGAUUUGCUCUAAAUAAGAUAACAUAUCUUUUUAGACAAAUUAAAAUUCGGCUUUUUGUAAAAAUCUGGUAGAUUAUUCUUAUUGGAUGGUUCCAGGAAAUGACUAAUGAGUUGGUUCAAAUGUUAUUUUAAUUGAAAAUCACAGGAGAAUAGGAUACUAUAUGCCUAGGAGGAUCUAGCCAGCAUUGAAAGGCUUACUCAGUUG